rnacentral:rRNA from 1 species
UACGUAGGGGCAAGCGUUGUCCGGAAUCAUUGGGCGUAAAGAGCGUGUAGGCGGCCCGGUAAGUCCGCUGUGAAAGUCCAGGCUCAACCCUGGGAUGCCGGUGGAUACUGUCGGGCUCGAGUCCGGAAGAGGAGUGUGGAAUUCCUGGUGUAGCGGUGAAGUGCGCAGAUAUCAGGAGGAACACCAAUGGCGAAGGCAGCACUCUGGGACGUGACUGACGCUGAGACGCGAAAGCGUGGGGAGCAAACAGG